AUACGGAGGAUGCGAGCGUUAUCCGGAUUUAUUGGGUUUAAAGGGUGCGUAGGCUGUGCGUUAAGUCAGGGGUGAAAUGCCGUCGCUCAACGACGGAGCUGCCCUUGAUACUGGCGUGCUGGAGUACGGAUGCCGUUGGAGGAAUGAGUGGUGUAGCGGUGAAAUGGUUAGAUAUCACUCAGAACACCGAUUGCGAAGGCAUCUGACGAAUCCGUCACUGACGCUGAGGCACGAAAGCGUGGGGAUAGAACAGGAUUAGAUACCCUGGUAUUCCACGCCGUAAACGAUGAUGACUAACCGUCGGCGAUAGACAGCCGGUGGCCAAGCGAAAGCGAUAAGUCAUCCACCUGGGGAGUACGUCGGCAACGAUGAAACUCAAAGGAAUUGACGGGG
rnacentral:rRNA from 1 species